UCAAAAUUAAUAUUGACUGUAUGAAAUAAUAACUGUGGUUUAUAGGAAACAAUAAGCAACAAUAUGGAAAUUAAACAAUUAAAAUAGGACCUAGAGGGGAUUAAGUAGAGUUAAAGGGUUAUAAGGUUUUUGCAAUGUUUGAAAAGUGGUGACAUUAUUCAUACAUAUUUUAAUAUCGCAGAUGUAGUCAAAUACCAAAGUUCCAGGGCAGAGUCGUUCAGAAUGACAAGCCAGACCAGCCUUUUGAAGCUAGUGCAAGGCGUUAGGUCCAACUAUAAGCAGGGCAUUCUAUGCAGCAGCCCGCUUAGUUUAGUAAGCAACUACAAGUCUGAGAGUUCACAUGCCAAUUUUAUCUUUUUUCUGUAGGAGGACGUAAUGGUAUUCCCUAGAAGUUAUUAAUCAGUUAUUAAUCAGUUAUGCUUGAUUAUGAAGAAGUACAUUUUGCUGCAGGGAAAUAUACAUGAUGGCAGGGCAGGGUGUUGCAGACGUCUAUAUUGGGAGCUUCCGGGGUCAUCCAGACAUGAUGCUUCAGCAUCAGAAGUGGCAGUAUGUAACAUAGUGUAUGGUCUAUCUAAGAAACUCACUCAAGUGCUAAAGACCAGAGGUUUAUUGGGGUUUCAAUUAAUUAUGCAAAUAGUUGAGCCUGCCUAUCCCCAAAGCCCCUAUCUGGAAGUCAAGCUGAUAUCACAUGGCCUGGAUAAUUUAUAGCUCACAUCAAUAAUGGAAACUUUCAAGUAUGACCCAAAGGAGCCAUCAUAAACAAAGACAUUUUGUGAUUCGAAAAUAUUCCAGCACUUAAGAGGAAGUUUUCUGAAACCAAAACAAGAUAUUCUUGUUGAGAAAUGAAUUAUUCACAGCAGAGGGAGGGUACAGCUGGGGCUUUGUUAAUUGUCAUAGAUGCCUCAUAUUUAUCCUUCACAAAGCACUGAUAUGGUAGAGCUAUGACUUCAAGAUAUAAUCACAAUGUCUUAGUUAUGUUUCUAGUUCUGUGAUAAAGACCAUGACC
rnacentral:lncRNA from 1 species